UACGGAGGAUCCAAGCGUUAUCCGGAUUUAUUGGGUUUAAAGGGUGCGUAGGCGGCCCAUUAAGUCAGGGGUGAAAGACGGUAGCUCAACUAUCGCAGUGCCCUUGAUACUGAUGGGCUUGAAUGGACUAGAGGUAGGCGGAAUGUGACAAGUAGCGGUGAAAUGCAUAGAUAUGUCACAGAACACCGAUUGCGAAGGCAGCUUACUAUGGUCUUAUUGACGCUGAGGCACGAAGCGUGGGAAUCAAACAGG
rnacentral:rRNA from 1 species